rnacentral:rRNA from 1 species
UACACAAUGGAUAAAGAAUUAAUAAUGAUUUUUAAACCUUCACUACUAAUUUUAAUCCUAUUGGACUCUUUCGAGGAUAAGCUCGAAAGUUGUUGUUGAGAGCUAUAUUAUUAUAAAGUUUGUUGUGUAGGCCUAAAAUUAGCUACCACAAAAGUUUGUUAUAAAAUAACAAAAAUCACAUAAAAUAUUAUUAUAUAUAGUGCCACUAAAAACUAUAAGGAUAACAAUCUAAACUUAAAGGGUUGUUGUACCUAUGCUAGGAUGAGUAUUAUAAAUCAUUUAGAUCAAAAAACAAAAGUGUUUCUAAGAAGGUAUUUUUAAUAUUAAUUAAUGAGAAGGAACUCGGCAAAUGUUGUUCCGCCUGUUUAUCAAAAACAUGGCUCUUUGAAAAAAAACAUAUAAAGAGUCGAACCUGCCCAGUGAAAUUUCAACGGCCGCGGUACCCUGACCGUGCAAAGGUAGCAUAAUCAUUUGCCUUAUAAUUGAAGGCUGGCAUGAAUGGUCUGACGAGAACAAUACUGUCUCCUCUUUAUUAUUUAGAAAUUAACUUGUAGGUGAAGAGGCCUAUAUUAAAUUGAAGGACAAGAAGACCCUGUCGAGCUUUUUAAAUAAAAAUAGGAGUUUUUUAUUAAAAAAAAAUCAAUAAACUGUAUGUAAUUUUUAGUUGGGGCGACGAAGGAACAAAUAAAGCUUCUUUUAUUUUAUAAAUCUAUGAAUCUAGAUCCAGCAAAGCCGAUCAGAAAAAUUAGUUACCGCAGGGAUAACAGCAUAAUCUUCUUUGAGAGACCUAAUCGAAAAGAGGGGUUGUGACCUCGAUGUUGGACUAGAAUAUCCUAGGGAUGCAGCCGUCU